CUUUAUAGUGCAAGACAAUUAAAAUACAGUUUAAAAUACAAUUUAAAAUGCAAUUAAAAUACUGUUAAAAUGCAAUAAAUACAUUAAGUGCAAUCGGUUUGUAGCAGACCUGAGUCAGUUUGGAUUUAAAAUGCCUGCUUAAACAAGAGUAUAGUCCACAGGAAAAUGUUUUAAAAUGCUU